CGCGUAGGCGGGCUGUCAAGUCUGGGGUGAAAUGCCGCGGCUCAACCGUGGAACUGCCUCAGAUACUGACGGCCUCGAGGGAGAUAGGGGCGAGCGGAACUGUGAGUGGAGCGGUGAAAUGCGUUGAUAUUCACAGGAACUCCGGUGGCGAAGGCGGCUCGCUGGAUCUUUUCUGACGCUGAGGCGCGAAAGCUAGGGGAGCAAACG
rnacentral:rRNA from 1 species